rnacentral:rRNA from 1 species
AUAGGCGAAAGCCUGACAGGGUUACUCUGAGUGGUUCCCGCUAAGGGGAUCUUUUGGCACCUCUAAAAAUGGUGCAGAAUAAGGGGUGGGCAAGCCUGGUGUCAGCCGCCGCGGUAAUACCAGCACCCCGAGUGGUCGGGACGAUUAUUGGGCCUAAAGCAUCCGUAGCCGGUCAUGCAAGUCUUCCGUUAAAUCCAGCCGCUCAACGGUUGGGCUGCGGAGGAUACUACGUGGCUAGGAGGCGGGAGAGGCAAGCGGUACUCAGUGGGUAGGGGUAAAAUCCUUUGAUCCAUUGAAGACCACCAGUGGCGAAGGCGGCUUGCCAGAACGCGCUCGACGGUGAGGGAUGAAAGCUGGGGGAGCAAACCGGAUUAGAUACCCGUGUAGUCC